GCGUCAAUGGUGCAAUGGUAGCAUGGUUGCCUUCCAAGCAAUUGAUCCGAGUUCAAUUCCCGGUUGGCGAA